rnacentral:rRNA from 1 species
AGAGUUUGAUCCUGGCUCAGAUUGAACGCUGGCGGAGUGCUUUACACAUGCAAGUCGAACGGCAGCACGGACUUCGGUCUGGUGGCGAGUGGCGAACGGGUGAGUAACAUAUCGGAACGUAUCCAAUAAUGGGGGAUAACUAAUCGAAAGGUUGGCUAAUACCGCAUACGCCCUACGGGGGAAAGCUAGGGACCUUCGGGCCUGGCGUUAAUGGAGCGGCCGAUAUCUGAUUAGCUAGUUGGUGAGGUAAAGGCUCACCAAGGCGACGAUCAGUAGCUGGUCUGAGAGGACGACCAGCCACACUGGAACUGAGACACGGUCCAGACUCCUACGGGAGGCAGCAGUGGGGAAUUUUGGACAAUGGGCGCAAGCCUGAUCCAGCCAUUCCGCGUGAGUGAAGAAGGCCUUCGGGUUGUAAAGCUCUUUCGCAAGGGAAGAAAACUUAGUUACUAAUAUUAACUGAGGUUGACGGUACCUUGAUAAGAAGCACCGGCUAACUACGUGCCAGCAGCCGCGGUAAUACGUAGGGUGCGAGCGUUAAUCGGAAUUACUGGGCGUAAAGCGUGCGCAGGCUGUUUUGUAAGUCAGAUGUGAAAUCCCCGAGCUCAACUUGGGAACUGCGUUUGAAACUACAAGACUAGAAUAUGUCAGAGGGGGGUAGAAUUCCACGUGUAGCAGUGAAAUGCGUAGAGAUGUGGAGGAAUAUCAAUGGCGAAGGCAGCCCCCUGGGAUAAUAUUGACGCUCAUGCACGAAAGCGUGGGGAGCAAACAGGAUUAGAUACCCUGGUAGUCCACGCCCU